CAGUAUAUAGAAGUCCAUGAGUGUAUUAUACUGCAUCUAUGGUUGGCAAUGUUUGACCGUUCGUGCGGGAGGCAGAGUGUGAGCCGAUUAUUUUUAUUAUAAUCGUGCAGAAAAGCAAGAUGCGUCAAGUUAUGGUACAGUUUAUAUAUUGUCCUUAGUCUGGUGUAGCAUUGUGUAGUGUGGUGUCAAGUAUUGUGCAGUGUUAUUCGACCGCCCUAACGUGACAAGUUAUAAUGGCGGGCUCUAUAGAGAUACCACUCCGUGAUACAGACGAGGUCAUAGAACUUUAUUUAGACCAGUUACCAGAAGGAGAUGAAGUUCUGGGGAUUCUACGGCAGGAACAUGCCCAACUUAAUAUCUGGGUCAAUUUGGCCCUCGAAUAUUAUAAGCAGCAAAAGAUUGAAGACUUCAUUAAGAUACUCGAAUCUUCUCGUCUUGAUGCAAAUAUUGAUUAUCGUGAUUAUGAAAAGGAUCAGAUGCGAGCUCUUGAUAUGUUGGCUGCCUAUUAUGUCCAGGAAGCUAACAAGGAAAAGAAUAAGGACAAAAAAAGAGAUCUCUUUACAAAAGCUACAUUACUGUAUACAACAGCUGACAAGAUCAUCAUGUAUGACCAGAAUCAUUUGCUUGGCCGAGCUUACUUCUGUUUGCUCGAAGGCGAUAAAAUGGAUCAGGCUGACGCACAGUUCAAUUUCGUGCUGAAUCAGUCGCCAAAUAAUAUACCCUCUCUGCUGGGUAAAGCUUGCAUCGCUUUCAACAAAAAAGACUACAGAGGUGCUCUUGCGUUUUAUAAGAAAGCCCUGAGAACUAAUCCAAACUGUCCAGCCGCUGUUAGGCUGGGAAUGGGACAUUGUUUCAUGAAAUUGAAUAAUCAGGAGAAAGCGCGACUUGCAUUCGAGAGAGCUUUACAGUUGGACGGACAAUGCGUCGGUGCGCUGGUUGGCCUUUCAGUCUUGAAAUUAAAUCAGCAACAGCCCGACAGCAUAAGAACUGGCGUGCAAAUGUUAUCGAAGGCGUAUACGAUUGACUCGACAAAUCCAAUGGUGUUGAACCAUUUAGCGAACCAUUUCUUCUUCAAAAAAGAUUACAAUAAAGUUCAACAUUUAGCACUGCACGCUUUUCACAAUACGGAAAAUGAGGCCAUGCGGGCGGAAAGUUGCUAUCAACUAGCCAGAGCAUUUCACGUCCAAGGUGAUUACGAUCAAGCGUUUCAAUAUUACUAUCAGGCGACACAGUUUGCUCCGCCUGUAUUUGUAUUACCACAUUUUGGUUUAGGACAAAUGUAUGUUUAUCGCGGUGAUGCAGAAAAUGCUGCCCAGUGCUUCGAGAAAGUUUUGAAAGCACAACCAGGCAAUUAUGAAACUAUGAAGAUUCUCGGCUCACUUUAUGCUAAUUCGAGCUCGCAAUCAAAACGCGAUAUUGCAAAAAAUCAUUUACGUAAAGUAACGGAACAGUUUCCUGAUGAUGUCGAAGCUUGGAUCGAGCUAGCGCAAAUAUUGGAGCAAAGUGAUCUGAACGCAGCUUUGAAUGCUUAUGGAACCGCAACCAGGAUUUUGAAAGAGAAAGUUCAAGCGGACAUACCACCAGAGAUCUUGAAUAAUGUGGGAGCGUUACAUUACAGGCUUGGUAACUUGGAAGAAGCCAGAAAAAACCUAGAGGAAUCCCUGGCACGUUCGAAAGCGGACGCCUUACACGAUUCUGUAUAUUACAAUUCGAUAGCAGUGACCACGACGUAUAACUUAGCGCGACUCAAUGAGGCACUAUGCAUAUUUGAUCGGGCGGAGAAAUUGUACAAAGACAUUUUGAAGGAACAUCCGAAUUACGUAGAUUGUUAUCUGAGACUCGGCUGCAUGGCUAGAGACAAGGGACAGAUAUACGAGGCGUCCGAUUGGUUCAAAGACGCCUUGAGAAUCAAUAAUGAACAUCCGGACGCGUGGUCGCUAUUGGGUAAUUUGCAUCUGGCCAAAAUGGAAUGGGGUCCCGGUCAGAAGAAAUUCGAGAGAAUUUUAAAAAAUCCGACGUCUAGUACUGACGCUUACUCCUUGAUAGCGUUGGGAAAUAUUUGGUUACAAACAUUACAUCAAAGUGGAAAAGAUAAAGAAAGGGAAAAGCGACAUCAGGAUCGAGCAUUAGCUAUGUACAAACAGGUUCUGAGAAAUGAUCCAAAAAACAUUUGGGCCGCAAACGGCAUUGGCGCGGUGCUUGCGCACAAGGGUUGCGUAAACGAAGCUAGAGAUAUAUUCGCUCAAGUGCGCGAAGCAACAGCAGAAUUCUGUGAUGUCUGGUUGAAUAUUGCGCAUAUUUAUGUGGAGCAGAAACAAUUCGUCAGUGCUAUUCAAAUGUACGAAAAUUGUUUGCGUAAAUUCUAUAAAUAUCAUCACGUUGAAGUCCUACAAUAUCUUGGUAGAGCUUAUUUUAAAGCUGGCAAGUUAAAGGAAGCAAAAUUGACGUUAUUAAAAGCGCGCAGAGUAGCCCCACAGGAUACUGUCUUAUUGUACAAUAUUGCUCUUGUACUCCAACGACUGGCCACGCAAAUUCUUAAAGAUGAAAAAUCGACUUUGACCACUGUACUUCAAGCAGUUCACGAAUUGGGUCUUUCGCAUAAGUAUUUCCAAUAUUUGUCGGCGCAUGGCGAUAGGAUGGAACAACUGGCUGAAGCUGAAGCCAGGAGAUGUCAAGAUUUAUUAUCACAAGCACAGUAUCAUGUUGCUAGAGCUAGAAGAUUAGACGAGGAAGAGAAAAUGUUGAGGCGGAAGCAAGAAGAGGAAAGGCAAGCUUUUAAAAUGCGUCAGACGGAAGAGCAACGUAAACUGGAAGAGAUGCGUCGUCAGAAAGAGGAGGAAAUGUUGCAGAAGCGACAGGAAUACGUGGAGAAAACUAAGAACGCACUGGUAUUCGGCGAAAUGCCGUCGGAAAAACCUGGAAGAAAGGGCAAGAAAGUACGAACUGAUCAGUAUGUCAGUGAUAGUGGAGGUUCCGACAGAGAUGAAGGCAGGGAGGAAGUGCCGAAGGAAAGAAAACGUAAGAGAAAACCUAGUGGUGAAACUAAGGAGAGAAAGAGUAAAGGUAAAGGCAGACGUAGGAAGGACGCCGGAAGUGGCAACAGCGGAUCGGACAGUGACCAACCGAAACGCAAACGAGGUAAGAAGACUGGGGGGACUAAGAAAGAAAAAUCGCGUAAGGGCGCAGUUGAGACUCUUAAGGGUAAGCUGGUUAAAUCGAAGGAAACUAUUUCAACAAGUGAGUCAGACAGCGAUACGGGUGGCCUUAAAAUCGCCAGCGGCGGCGAAAGCGGUAACGAGAAUCAACCACGCAGUAGCAGACGAAUUGCGUCUGAUUCCGAAGGUUCUCGCGCUUCACGUUCGCGAUCUCGUUCAAGAUCAAAGUCUGGAAGCCGCUCGAGAAGUAGUUCGCGUUCGCGUUCGCGUUCGCGUUCGCGUUCCGGUUCCCGUUCAAGAUCGCCAUCUCGAUCUCGAUCUCGUUCUCGAUCUCGAUCUCGUUCUCGAUCUCGAUCUCGAUCAGUCUCUAGAUCCAGAUCCAGAAGCAUCUCGAAAUCAAGAAGUCGUUCGGUAUCCGGGUCAAGAUCAGGGUCGGCCAAAAGUAGGUCAAGAUCGAGGUCAGGUUCGCGCAAGAGUGGCUCUCGAUCAAGGUCUAACAGCGGCUCACGAAGAAGUGGAUCAAAGCCAAGAUCAAGAUCAAGUUCGAGAAAGAGCGGUUCUAGGUCGAGGUCACCGAGUGGUUCACGGAAAGGCGUAUCACGAUCGAGGUCUCGAUCCAAAAGCGGAUCGCGUUCAGGCUCGGAAGAACGUCAAUCUAGAAGCAAGAGUCGAUCGCGAUCUAAAUCAAAGUCUGUUUCGAGAUCUAAGUCGAGAUCGAAAAGCGGUAGCAGAUCGCGAUCGCGUUCUAGGUCGAAAAGCGGUUCUCGAAGCCGGAGUCCAAGCGGAUCGGCACGAUCUGCGUCUCCAGUAUCUAGAAAAUCAGUGUCAGGAAGCGGUGGUAGUGAUAGCGAAUAAAUCAACCGUUCUUGCAAUUGUAAGUUGGUAUAUCACAGUGAAAAAAACCAAUUACACGUAAAUAACAUAUAUAAUUUUUGUAAAAACGUUUCCUGAAGUUCUUUCAAUUACAGCAAAUCUCUCUUACAUCUCGUCAUUUGAUAGAAUAUAUUAUUAACGAAAGCGCAAGUUGAAAGACCAAAUACUCUGAAGUAAGACAAUUUAUCAGAUAAAGAUCAUUAUUAAACUUUUUUUUCUGAUUUUUUAAUCUUGAAA
rnacentral:misc_RNA from 1 species